rnacentral:rRNA from 1 species
AACGAACGCUGGCGGCAGGCCUAACACAUGCAAGUCGAGCGAAGCCUUCGGGCUUAGCGGCGGACGGGUGAGUAACGCGUGGGAACGUGCCCUUUGGUACGGAAUAGCCCCGGGAAACUGGGAGUAAUGCCGUAUGUGGUCGAGAGACGAAAGAUUUAUCGCCAAAGGAUCGGCCCGCGUUGGAUUAGGUAGUUGGUGGGGUAAUGGCCUACCAAGCCGGCGAUCCAUAGCUGGUUUGAGAGGAUGAUCAGCCACACUGGGACUGAGACACGGCCCAGACUCCUACGGGAGGCAGCAGUGGGGAAUCUUAGACAAUGGGGGAAACCCUGAUCUAGCCAUGCCGCGUGAUCGAUGAAGGCCUUAGGGUUGUAAAGAUCUUUCAGUGGGGAAGAUAAUGACUGUACCCACAGAAGAAGCCCCGGCUAACUCCGUGCCAGCCGCCGCCGUAAUAC